CACACGCUUUAUUGAAACCCGGAAAGAAAAUAUUUCUGAUUUAUUUCACUGAAAAUCAAAAUGUUUUGGCUGCGAAUAUCGCUGAAGUGUCUCAAGAGAGGUUCUAAUGCACGGAGGCCCUAUUCCCUGUGAUGUGGGGAGGCAGAGGACCCCUGUUGUGCAGUACCUCAGCCCUUGGAGGGAGGCUGUGUCCUAGGGGAGGAUCUGCUGGGACAAGACAACUUGGGCUGCAGAAAGCACGCAGAUUCCUCAUGCACCUUUACUGAAGUGCAGCGGCAGUCUCUCAGGGCCUAAGUGCUUUCUCUUAAGGCUCAAUUACUUCGUCUGUUUCUGGGCAUUAUUCAAAAUUCUAAUUUUCCCCACAGUUUUAAACAAAAAGAUUCUGGAAAAAAACACAUUCACACAGACUCCGUAUUUUUCGCUUUUCCCACUCUUCCUCAGACCAGUGGCAAGCCAGGUGGCUGGCAAAAGAUACCCCUGAAGCAAACUGCAGCGAUGCACACGAGGCAAGGUCUCACAAUGACCUUACAUCUGAAAGACUGAGAAGAAUUCAAAGGAAAUUCUCCCCUGACUAUCUCCAGACUGAGCUGUAUUGUCUUCAGCAGUGUCUCCUUCCCUGCAGCACCAGCCAGCAGGACCCCAGUGUGCUGGCCACCCCUCUCCAGCUAUUUUUCCCACAGAGAGGCAUCCCGCAGCAUGUGAAGCGCCGAUGUGGGUUAUCACGCUGGAUGUCUGUCACACAUCAUGGCUCACUCUGGGGCUCUGGCACAUCCCAAAGUCUGCUCAGAAAUGCCUGUCACUCUGCGUCCCCUCUGUUCAGCUGACAGCUUGGUGAGGGGCUGGGCUCUGAUAAAUAGGAGAUAACACGCAGACAGCAGCAUCCAACCAUGGGUACCUACCGUGCCUCUGCAGACAGACGUGCGUAAAGGGUUUCUUUCUUCCUCAUUAUUAAAGUCUAUUUUUGAUCACAAAAUACGUGGCAAAUGAGAUAAAACUUUGCCGUGUUAUGCAGAUGUCUAAAAAGAAAAAUAACGCAGUUUUUGAAAGCACAAUGGUACCUACUGCUCUUUAGAAAUAAGCUGACAAGAAAAGCAUAAGAAAAACCAAACAAUGCUGAUGAAAAUAAAGAAAAAGAAGGAUUUAGGGAUUUAUGUUUGCCCAGUAGUCAGCUACAUAAAUUGCCUGUGAAUAAGGGUUUUAAAUGUUUUAAAAGUUUUUGAGGCAUAUCUAGGCUUGCUUAUUUGUCUGGGAAUAAUAUUUGUGCCUUUUUAUCUGUCCUGUUCUAAAUCACCCCAAACAGACUGUAAUGCUGCCAGUAAAGCCAUGUGAAUCCAAAAGAGCAGGAGCAGAAGAAAACACCCCUGGCAAGGAAAAAAAUUAAAAGACAUGUAUGGCUUCUGCAGCUGAGAGUAGUUACUGGAAAACAUCAAAUCACAAAAUGCAAACCAAAGGAGCAGGAGGGAGAAAACAUGCAAUGUGGGAACUGCUGUGUGUCCAUAAGAGAUUUAUAUCAGGAAUCCCCGAAGCAUCCACAUUAUCUGUCUGCUAGGAGCACGGAAACAGGAACUGUUGGUAAGGUCUCUCCAUACAAAGACCUGAAGAUGAGAGAGAUGUGAAUGAUUUUCUGUUUCUCCCAAGAUUUACCAAAUUUCCCUGGAGACAGAGCCAGGAAAGAAAGGCAGCACUUUCAGGGGGAAAAAAAAUAAAAAAUAAAAGUAAAAAAGCAGAAGCUGAUAGAAACAUAAAACUAGAGAGAUUCAGGGGCAGGUUGUGACCAUCAACUUGCAGCUCGGUGCUGCAAUGCUCAGGUUCACCCUGGGCUCCUGGCUCUGCAUGUGGCUCUUGGCAGCUCCUUCCCCCUGCACCCCAAAGCGGGCAUAGCUUGGAGGAUGAGCUUUGCCUGAGCAGGCUUUCACAGGUCAGGCUGUAAGCAAACCAGCAGCACUGCCAACCGUCAGAUUUCCUCCAUCUGCCCUCAGCACUGGUGAGGGUGAGAAGUGGCCCCAGAAAUAUAAAUGUGUUAAAAAUAUAAUAUGUGUUAAAAAGACAAGGAGUAUUUCAGAAUACUUGCUUCCCUGCCUCAGCCACUGAAAUGAAAGUAAUUCCUGCUGGGCAUGCACUGCAAACAUCAGUUCCUUGCUGUAAGGUUAAAUGCAGCUUCAAAUGUUUUGUUCAGUACAUACUGGUGAAGGAAAAGAUAUAUCUGUACUACAAGGAAUGUAAUAAAAGAUACUUGAAAACACUGGUCAAGUUGAUGGUUGGACUUGAUGAUCUUGAAGGUCUUUUCCAACCGAAAUAAUUCUAGGAUUCUGCGAAUACAAAUUUUACUAGAAGAAAGGCCAAAUAUAAACCAGAUUCUGUUUUUUUAAACUCACAUGAAUUGGUAUGGGGAAUGUCCCUUGGCUUCAAUCUCUGCCCGCGCUGGUGCACUAGAGAAGGACUUGGCUCCACAGCUUUAAAGCUGCUGUGGGAACCAAUAUGCUAAAGCAACCCUAAGCAGUGUACCUGAAAGAAAUCUCCAUGGCUCCUCUCUUUCCCAGCUACAAGGUAGCAACCUUUGCAGACUGCAGUUUCCCCAGAAAUUAAAUAAAGAAGAAAAUGCUGAAAGCUAUAUUAAAAAAACAAAAGUAUAUAUCACAGCAGGAAACGCGAGAAAAAAAGAGACCUCAAGACCCCAGCAGCACUUACUAGGAAAAGUGAGAAUGGAAUAAGUCUCCAUCCUUUCACUUCCCAUUAAAACGUGCUUGUUUCCCACUACUGACUAUCUUAUUUGAUUUCUAUUUUUGUUGGAUGGGUUUCUGUUUUAAUCUCUGAGAGAUCAAGAAUAAAAGUCCACUUGGUCUCCUGGGCCUUGGCAGAAUUAUUUUAAAUUCAGCAGAGCAGGGAAGAAGGAGGAAAGGUUUUCAUUUUCUGUCUCAGUCUUGGAUCUUCCCUUAGUAUACAGCAACCCUGCAUGGUUUCGAACAUGCUCAUUAGGUGCAGAGCUAAAGGUAGCUAUAAUUAAAUGCAAUUUUCCAUCUACUGCCAAGGUGCAUAGGUUUCCAGGGAGCCAGCUCCUUGUCACCUUUUCUGUGUACUUGUGGCUAAAUAUGAAUAUUAAUGAACUCUCAGAUCUCCUCACCCUCCCCUUUCCUAAUUUAUUCACAACUAUUCUGUCUUUCUGCAAUGAAAGAAAGAAAAAAAAAAGCAAAAUAUAAUUAGCUUCUCUAUGAGCCUUCAGUCUGCUCUGGCAUCACUGACUGAGCCUCCCACUUUACCAGUAGACAACAUACUGACGAAGAGAAGGAUCUUUAAUAAGAUGAGGUUUUGAUUAUCUUCAGCAUCCCUGACAAGCUUCAGAGAGCCCUGGAAUGAAAAUAAGAUUUAUUGCUCCUGUUUCUAGCCAUGUCAUUCAGAGAAGAUGUUCCCUUGUCCAAAAAUAAACGUUUCACCCAACUUAGGUCACAACAUUUCUUAAUUGAAAAUCAGCAAACUCUCAGGGGGAGUGAGGACAGAGGAUUUGGUCUAAAACUACCAGUGCUAAUAAGAAUAAUGACAUUUCUGCUCUAGCAAGCCAUUGCUCCCCUAAAGCUUACAAACUAGCUUUAAUACUGGGUUAUGAAUCUGUCCUUAGCACAUUGACUUGCUGACAUUGCAUAUGUCUGCUCUUGGGGCACACCCUCCUCUUGAUGGUCCCAGUCCUUGCCUGGCCCACUGCAUGCUGAUCCCUGCUCAGGAGAUGAUAACAGGGAACAGGCCUCACAACAGCCUGUCAUCUUCUCCCCAAGUUAAACCAUCUCCAAAAGCUAACAGCAGUGCAGCACUUUUCAAUCACAGAGGAAAGGAGAACACUCAAUGAAAUACCAUUUGUAAAACCAGGUGCCUCAGCACCACAUGGGAGAAGACUUCAGGGUAGUGAGUGAAGGACCCAAGGAGGCAUCCCCAAGCAUGCAUGGUUGCUCUCACUAGCUUGGCCGGGGGCUGCUCCCCACCCAGAAGGAGAUCUGUCUUCUUCCUGAGUCUGCCUGCCUCCCUUGGGCCAUGUUACCUCAGAAACUGGCCAAGUCUCACCAGCUCUUUGUUGCUCAACACAGCACUACCUCUGCCAGGGCUGCUGCAAGAUCUCACAUUUUCUGCCUCUUACUCCCCUAAAAACAGACUUAUCACAAGGUCUCUUGUACAGGCCCUCACAACACAAUAAUUCAUUGCCAGUGCCUGGCCACAUUAAAUGGGUAGGUUGAUGCUAUGUGCAGAGACACUGCCAGGUUGCUCUAAGCGUGUGCUCACAUCGGUGCACCUCGUAUUAUAAAAGCCAUGUUUCACUCUUCAUUGCCCCAAAGGUGCAGGUUUGCACAGAGUGUGCCCAGGUUUGAACUGAAGUGCAUUCUCUGAAAUACAAGACAGAAAGAUUAUUUCGGCCUUCUCCAAAUUAUUUUAUAUUAGAUAUUAUUUCAGUUCAACUGUGUUCACACUUCUGUGGUAUUUACUGACUGAAAACAUGCUCGCAAAUGUGUUUACUGAAGAAACAUUCCCUACACAGGCAAAUUUCAGGCAAAUAUUUGUGGUAAGUAAUUUUCAAAACUGCAAACCCAAAUAUUUAUCCCAGAAGAAGGAUGCUAAAAGUCCAGUCAAAGAACAGAAACAUACCAUGUAACCUCUGUCUCCAGUCAGUUGGACAGGAUUCCAGCAGAUCUGCAGACAAAGAAUCCUUUAGAGAAAUGCUGGGUGCACUUGAUAAAAUGCCGAUGCAUUUACGGGCAGAUCAAGACCCAAAGGGGAGAAAGGACAAAGUUUAUGGAGCAAGCAACUCAUCGCAAUAAUUUGUUCAGAGCUCCCAGGACAUUUGCUGGGCUAGGGAGCAUACUCUGGGCCUGACGUAGAUCCAGAAAGGUCCAGGUAAAAUGCAGCCCAUUUCUACUUGAUUAUUUGGCAACUGAAAAGGGAUACUCACUUUGGAUUGCAGUUUGCAGGCUAUACCGUUAGAAGCAGAGGCAGCAGGUGGUGGCCACCAGGCCUCAAUUAGAUAUGAGAAUAUCAGAUCGAUGGAAAGUUUGUAUCUGCAGUAUGUAUCUUACACUUAUGCUGUAAAACCAAAGGAGGAAAAACUAGCUUGAGGCAAAUCUUAUACUAAACCCAAGCCAAGCAUCAAUAAUAUACAUUUUGUUGGGUAUUUAUACAGAAUCGAUCUGUAAACGAAGGUGCCUUUAGUUGCCAAGGGUAGCAGAUGUUUUUUCUGGAAUCUACUGCCAAAAACCAAGUUAAGAGGGGGAGAGAGGAGGAGAGAGCAGUUCAGCUCCUUCAGUGCAGAAAUUUUGGUGUCCGAAUAUGCUAAGUCAACCUACUUGCAAUAAAAUUUAAAACACUUAAUCCAAAUGGCAGAAGCUGCAGCUGGCUGUUUUUAAUCUCACUGACAACAUAGCAACUGUACAUGAGGCUCAGGGUUCAGCCUUCCUGACACAGAUAUUUGCCCAACACCUACAAGCGAUACAUGGGACUUGCCAGAAUACUGGCCCCAGGGGAUAGCCUGUGAAACUGCAAGGACAGGAUUGGCUCAGAGACUCUUCCACUGCCUCCUUCAAGAAACCUGGGUAGCUUGGUGCACCCAACUUGCCUUGGGAGCCCAUCUUGGCCCUACAGGCUGUCUCCAGUGUCCUUUCUUCUACAGAGGCCUGAGUCUGGACCAAACUCCAAGCCGCACAAAGCUCCUUCCAGUUCAGCACCUUGUUGAAGCCACGGGAGGACUGUAUGGCCACCGGCCUGUUACAAGAGCCACGCUGCUCUCUUAAACACAGAGGAUUUUGUCUUUCUGAGUUCUCAGCCUUGCCAUCUUUCAUGACCUAAAAUUUCAUUCUCUCAGCACUUCCUUGAAGAUUUUUAGGCAGAACAACACGUUAAAAGCUCAAAUGGCCUACAAAAUUUCAAUAGUGUUUUCCCUAUUGAGACCCAUGAAAACUGUACUUUUAAUGUCUACUUACAACCCGUUUCUGACUCCUCAUCUCAGUGACCUCUGCACAACACACGGUUCAGCAGUCAAAAAAGUUAAACAAAUAUCUAAGAAGAUAAUGAAGCAGUAAAACCUAGUCUAAAGUUUAAUCUCUCUGGAAACCUGUCAGCCGAAAAGGCUUAGAAUGGUGUUUCCCUGAAAACAGGGAAAGAAACAGGAAACACUUUUGUUUUAAAGCAACUGAGAAUCUGAAGAGACUGAAAUUUUAGAAAAAAUUGUCAUUUAUGUAAGGCAGAGUUUGAAAAUUUGAGAGGGCUCACCAACCCUUGGUGAGGGAUCAGAAGGUGAUGGGUACCAGCAGGUCAGAGCCUGCUGAGGAAGGGAGCUCUUAGGGUGCAUGAGAGCUUGCCAAACCAAGAAUCAUAGAAUCAUAGAAUCACUAAGGUUGGAAAAGACCCACAGGAUCAUCCAGUCCAACCAUCCGCCCUUCAUCAAUGGUUCUCGCUAAACCAUGUCCCUUAACACAACAUCCAAACGCUCUUUGAACACCACCAGGGUCGGUGACUCCACCACCUCUCUGGGCAGCCCAUUCCAGUGCCUGACCACCCUUUCAGAGAAGUAGUAUUUCCUAACGUCCAGCCUGAAUCUUCCCUGACGCAGCUUGAAGCCAUUCCCUCUCGUCCUAUCACUAGUCACCCAGGAGAAGAGGCUGACCCCCAGCUCACCACAACCUCCCUUCAGGCAAAUAAAAAUAAAAAUAAAUAAAUAAAAUAAAAAGAAAGGGCACAAAGUCCCUGCAGUCAUCCAUGGUGCUGUUUCACCUACAGGAAUUGCAGCACAGCAGAGAUUUGUGAGCCCCUCUGAGGCUUAACCAUUAGUGCACUGUAAUUAAUGCAAACGCUGGUCACUAUGGCUGCACCAACGUUACCUGCUGAGAUACAUAUCAAAGAAUCUGGGGCAAAUGGAGAUGGCAGUGUGGAUCACAGCUCUGACUGGGCCUGGUGGUCCCUUGCAGAAGUUGUCACACGCUUGGGCAUAACCCAAAGAAAGCCUGCACUCAGGCUCAGAAACUGGGAAGUUUUGCUGCAUUCAGUAAUGUGCUGUAUUGUAAGGAUAGAAAACCACACUGCCUGCCUUACAAGCCACUGCAGAAAGGUGGACUCUCAGAGCUUAUUGGAGAGAGCAGACUCUCCGACUUACUGUUGGAGGCCAGUUACAAGAAUGAAAAGGAGAUCAUUUGCAUUCUCCACUCUCAACAAGGGAUGAAGACUAUUUUAAAAGAAGCCUGUAACAGCCAUAGCAAUAGACAGUACUUUCUGGGAUAGCAGUAUCUGCAGAAAACUGCACAGUGGUUCAGCAUCUAUGAAUAACAGAGCCCUUCCCUCUGCGGGAUUCACAAUUUUCCCCUCAGCCCCACCAAAGCUAACUGAAAUGGACAGCACAAACCAUUGAAGCUCUUCUUUUCAGAGAAAGAAGAAAAACAACAAGAGAAACAUUUAUAUGACACACUAUUUAACAAAAGACAACAAACAACAAACCUCCAACUUCAGAUACUGCAGAAAACCAUCAUCCUGUGACCAAGAACUGCAGAAUGCCUGAGCAAACUUAAAAGAAACUCUUUCAGUUUCCUUGCUGGAUCAUCUUCAGCUAUCUUGCCUCUCCAGAACUCUCCAGAAUUUGUGGCACUUGGAGGAUGCACUGAAAAGCAUUGCAUCUUUCUGACUCCCAGGGAAGCCGUGCAACUUCAGAGAGAGGUAAUAAGCAAGCUGCGGAAUCUGAGAGUGAGAGCAAGUUGGAAGGACACCAAAAUGGUUUUCCAGGUCAGAUAAACGGAUGACUGUUGUGUCAGUGUUACCACCUCAGCAUCAGAGGGUUAUUCACACCACUUACAUUAGCCAGACAGCUCAGCCAAAAAUCAGGUUGGCUAGGACCACUCUGGAGCACACUGGCAGGGGAAAAGCAGCUCUAGGAAGAAGAAUCCUCAGGACAGUGUAGGAGCACCACACAUGUAAGAAGCUCUGGAAAAUCCCAGCAGACUGGAGAGGAACCCUUUGACUGCAGGAUUUUAUUACUUAAGACACCACAAAACAGCACCAACCAAGGGACAGGACUUCCAGUUGAUGAAUGGGUAAGACAGUGAAGCUAGCAUUCCACAACAAAGAUUGUGGCCACAGUUUAAGAAAGUUUCUGAUUUAGUUUCUUCUACAAAGGACACCAACAUGUUUCAUCCUGGUGAUUCUAAGAACUUGUUUUUCUUUGCUAAAUUUUUCCACCACUGAGCCUUGUUAUUAUUCUGCGAAGUAACAACAGAUUACUUCAGAGCAGAAGAGAUUUAUGCAUUUAUACAUCACAGAAAUGCCUGAAUGCUAACUGCCUGCACUUCCGAGAUAAAAGCUGGGGUGCUCUGCCUGCUGGUGCACUGACCUAAAUGCAGACACAUACAGAAUCACACAACCUGUUUACCAUCUAGAUGUCCUAUGCUUUCUGUAGGCAUGGCAUUGCUCCUGUAGGCUUCACCACAGAGACGAGGCGGAGAAGGAAAGCACCUUGAGAUGUUCCAUGGCAGGAGAAGCUGUAUCGCAAUACCACUCUUAUUGGAUGCUUGUUUUCCCUGCUCUAGAAGGCAGUUCUAAAAGGAGGGCUCCCCAGCUUCACAGACAUUCUUGUCAUGUUCCUAGCUAUCCUACUGUGACUUCUUGAUUUCUAAUUUUCUCUGCAGUUUACGACCAAUACUUCAUGUUUUGUUCACCACAGAUACAGAGAUCAUUUCCUCCUCUUUCCACUUGAAAAAUGUUAUCCUGUCCCUUAAGUCUGCUCUCCUUUUAUCGUCUUAAACUAUUUCCUUAGUUCACAUUUACUAGAUAUCACCACCUUGCUAUAUUCAUAGAAUCAUAGAAUUAUAGAAUGGUUUAGGUUGGAGGGGACCUUAAAGAUCAUCUAGUUCCAUCCAUGCCAUGGGCAGGGUUGCCAACCACUAGAUCAGGCUACCCAGGAACUCAUCUUGGGAUACUCCAUCCUCUCCAAGUGAUCUCUGGCUUUUUUAAAGUGCAAUGCCUGAUACUGGAUAUGAAAUAGGUUUACCAGCAGAAGGAUUAUUUAAUGUCUUUGUCGUUUACACAUUCAUCUGAGGACGGACUUUCUCCGUUUCACAACAGGCUGAUAUUGCUCACACGUGCUUAGUUCAUGAUUCAACAUAGUUCCUAGAUCCUUUCUGAAAGAAAUAAAAGUUUUUCAUCCUAUAUUUAAUAAAUCAUUUUUUCCAACUGCUAUGCAUGAUGCUCUAUGGAAGUCCAUACUAUUUUUAGGAAAUGUCUCCAAUUUGUAAAAAUCAUAUUAAUUCCAGCUCUUUCCCCUGUUGUGCUUGCAGCCUUUCUCAGACUUCUUUUAUCUUCAGAUUUACCAAACCUCCCAUGAACCAGCUCAUUAAAAAGAGCAUUAGAUGAAGCUGCAUGGAGAACAGACACUCGUGCGCUACUCACAGGCAGAGAUUUUCUUAUCAUAACUUAAUAAUAUAUAUUUUGAAAUUCCUGUCCCCCUUUUGACACCAACAACCACUUCUCUGAGCUGUGAGCUACCAAUUCACCUACACAGAGGCUGUAAUAAAAUCCUAGAAAGCAUUUCCUAAUUGAUACCUCUGAGCUUCAGCCAGGCACAUGAAUCUGAGAUCUUAAAUUAUCUUAAUUCAUAUCAGUGUGGAUUCACACCUCAUGUUAAUACUAGAGAAUUUGUGUCCCUUCCAGAUAACAGAAAUGUUUGAAAAGCCAGAGCCUUUCUUUCUGGUGCUCUGCAUCUCCUUGCUGAAGGUAACUAUUGCAAACACGGUGCAUUUACAGUAUAUUAUUUAUCUUUCAUUUAUGUGACUGGUACAGGCUUGGUUUUUCUCUGCUGAACUCCUUAAGAUUUGAAUCCCCUCCUUCAACACAGCAGAGUGGUAUGUCAGCAGCCUUCAAUGCACAGGCAGUGUGCUCUGAUGAGCUGGGAGCCAGAAACUCCCUAAUUCCAAACCCAACUUCACCAUGCAGACAAUUGCAUAGAUCUAGAGAGGUGUUUUAGCUCCCUCCCUUGCCUUCCUACCAGCCAGCACUAAACCAACAGAACAGUGAUGUUUACCAUGUUUUCAGUCUAAGUCGAAAAUGAAUACCCUCAGUGACUUGCACCCAGCUAAAAUCUCUUAACUACAAUUCCUCUUUCAUAUUUUCAAGCAUAUUUGCAAACAGCAUCUUGGAAAUAGGCUACCAGAUCUUCAGUUGGUGCAACCGGGAGGUUCCACAGAUGGCCAGGAGAACAGUUCAUGAAGGCAUUAUGUUAUUAAACUAUCUGGUUUUGUAAAUCCAAUUUGACAAGAGCUAUUAUAAAAUCAGUUUCUGCGCCCUUGAGCUUUACUGCAAAAUACCUGCAUUUAGUCUUCUUUUUUUUCUACUGAGGAUACAAAUUUUUUAGAAGCUGAAUCUCUUAAUGGAAUUGAUGUAUCAGGGAAGAGCAGGAGGAUUUCUUAAACAAAACAAAAAGUAAACAUAUGGAAGGGAAGCAGAAGAAGGGAAGCAUAGCUUCACUACAUAGAGUCUUUCUGUGUAAUAAAAUACUAAAGAAAUACUGUGAGAAAUCAACCACAGGAAAAUUAGGAGCUACAAAACUGGAGAUAAAGCAGAAUUGGAAGUAAAAGAAGCAGAGCAGGAAUACAAUCUGGAAGGUCAAUUGAUAAAAUAUGUAGCAAGCACUGAACCAACACCAAUCAAUACCACUCAGUAUGAGCCGAAUAACAGCCUAAUAACCACAUCACAUCCACUUUAUGGUACUAUCUAUCACAGCAACAGCAGGAGGUUGUGGCAAUUCCACUUUCUGCACACUCGGAUGGACUAGCCUCACCCAGACCUCCCAGUGUCUCUUCAUGCCACCAUGAAGGCAGCGGCGCUGUCCUGCAGCAACCAACACCAUCCUUCAGUUGAGCUCACCAAAUGUUCGGGACAGCAAAUCUGGGAUGUGUGAUAGGCAGAGUAGUGAGGAGCUGAGCACGAAGCCAGAUUUGAUGUCAGGGGACAUCAAAUCUAUAUAGGUUAGGGACUGACCUGCUGGAGAGCAGCAUAGGGGAAAAGGACCUGGGGGUGCUGGUGGACAGCAGGACCACCCUGAGCCAGCACCAUGCCCUUGAGGCCAAGAAGGCCAAUGGCAUCCUGGGGUGUAUUAGAAGGGGAGAGUUUAGUAGGUUGAGAGAGGUUCUCUCCCUCUACUCUGCCCCAGUGAGACUGCAUCUGGAAUAUUGCAUCCAGUUCUGGGCCCCUCAGUUCAAGAAGGACAGGGAACUGCUUGGGAGAGUCCAGCACAGAGCCACAAAGAUGAUUAAGGAUGUGGAGCAUCUCCCUUAUGAGGAGAGGCCGAGGGAGCUGUGUCUCUUUAGCUUAGAGAAGAGGAGACUGAGGGGUGACCUCAUUACUGCUCAUAAAUCUGUAAAGGGUGUCAGGACGAUGGAGCCAGGCUCUUCUCAGUCACAAGGGGCAAUGGGUGCAGUAUGGAACAUAAGAGGUUCCACAAAAAUAUGAGAAAAAACUACCCUUGAGUAAGGGUAACAGAACACUGGAGCAGGAUGCCCAGAGAGGUAGUGGGGUCUCCUUCUCUGAAGACAUUCAAAACACUCCUGGAUGCAUUCCUGUGUGACCUGGUUUAGGUGUUCCUGCCCUGGCAGGGGGAUUGAACUAGAUGAUCUUUCAAGGUCCCUUCCAUUCCCUGACAUCCUGUGAUUCUGUGACUUCUCCAUAAAAGGGGACAAACUGACAGUAAGGACUGAACUGAGAUGAGACUGGGCACCACACCAGAUGAUGAGAAAAGUCAAGCCUGGCUCAUUUUUUAUAACAUGCAAUGGAGAAGUAUUGGCCUCUUUCAAAUCAGUAAAAAAUCCUCCAUAUGGUUCCAAAGAGCCUGAGAAUUCAUCCCUCAUUUUGACCUAAUGUUAAAAAAGUUGAUACACAGCAUAAUUUAUAUCUUUCCUAAAAUGCUGGUGGAUUGUCUUCAAGGUUUGAAUAUGGAAAGAUAAUCAGCAACACAUAUGAACCAGAAAAAUAAUAGAACCAAGUUGGAAUGGACCCACAAGGAUCAUCAAGUCCAACUCCUGGCUCCACACAGGACCACCCAAAGUUCAAACCCUGUGUCGAGAGCAUUGUCCAAACGCUUCUGGAACUCCAGCAGCUUGGGGCCGUGACUGCUGCCCUGAGGAGACUGUUCCAUGCCCACCACCCUCUGGUGAAGAACCUUUUCCUAACAUCCAACCUGACCCUUCCUGAGGCAGCCCCAUGCUGUUCCCUUGGGUCCUGUUGCUGUCACCAGAGAGCAGAGCUCAGUGCUGUCUCUCCAAUCCCCGUGUAAGAAAGUUGUAGGCCACCAUGAGGCCUGCCAUCAGCCUCCACUUCUGCAGCCAGAAAUAGAAGUAUAAUUCAUACAAAUUCCUGGCUAUGUGGCUGGUGCCAGCAUGAGGGCUUUGGUUUUUAUGACAGUGGGACUUUCUAUGAAGAUUAUAGCCUGUUAAGGAGGGAUGAGAUCCACAUGUCUAGAAGAGGCAGGGCAGUCUUUGGCAGCAGGCUAGUUGGCUGACCUAGUGAGUUGAGCUUUAAACUGAAGGACUUAGGGAGUGAGGUCCAAAAUGGCAAUGCUCAUGUCACUGCAAGCACCUAGGGAAUAUCCAGACCAAUCAGAACAGUGACAAAUGUUCCUAAGCUGCCUCCCAUGACAUGAGCCAGAAGGUCAACUAUCGCAAAGGUGUGGAGGAUUCUCUUGCAUCCCUCUAGGGAAAUCUGCAUCCUCUGCUCCCUUUUCAUAUCUGAAGUGCUUGUAUGUCAACGCAUACAGCGUGGAAUCACAGAAUCACAGAAUGGCCCAGGUUGGAAGGGACAUCAAGGAUCAUCAAGCUCCAACCCCCUGCCACAGGCAGGGCCACCAACCUCCACAUUUAGUACUAGACCAGGCUGCCCAGGGCCCCAUCCAACCUGGCCUUGAGCAUCUCCAGUGACAGGGCAUCCACAACCUCUCUGGGAAGCCUAUUCCAGAACCUCACCACUCUUAGAAUAAGGAAAUUCCCCUGACAUCCAACCUAAAUUUUCCCUCCUUCAACCUAAAACCAUUUGGAGAACUUAAAACCAAUGGAGAAUAAGCAGGAUGAAUUAGAGAUCUGUGUGUGGUUGCUGGGCUGUAAUCUCAUUACAGUCACAGAGAUAUGGUGGGACAGUUCGCAUGACUGGAAUGUUGUCACGGAUGGCUAAUGUACUUUUUUGGGAAAGACAAGCCAGCAAAGCAAGGCAGUGGAGUUGCUCUUUGUGAGGCAGAAAUUGGAAUGUACCAAGCUCUGACUAGGGAUGAAUGAUGAACAAGUGGAGAGCUUAUGGGUGAGAACAAAGGGUCAGACUAAUAUGGUGACAUGGUUGUGGGUCUUUACUAUAGGCCACCUAAUCAGGAAGAGGGAGUUGAUGAGGAUGUUACAGAUAGCUGAAAGUAGCCUCACAAUCACAGGCAUGGGGGACUUCAACUAUCCUCAUAUUUACUGCCAGGCGCACACAGCCCACAUGGUUCCUGCAGGGCAUGGAAGAUAAAGUUUCUGAUGCAGGUGGUGAAGGAGCCAACAAGGAGAGGUGUGCUGCUAGACCUUGGUCUUACAAACAAGGAAGGACUCACUGGGGAUAUGAAGGCUGGGGGCACCCUCAGGUACAGCAAACAUGAGAUAGUGGAGUUUAGCAUCUUACAUGGAAGAAACAAGGCAAUAAGUAGGAUUGCAACCCUGGACUUCAAGAGAGAGAAUUUUAAUCUCUUCAGUGACCUUCUUGGAGGUAUCCUAUGGAUUAGAUCAUUGGAAGGUAAAGGGACCCAUGAGAGUUGGUUGACAUUCAAGCACCACUUCUUCCAAGCUCAAGGUCAGUGCAACGCUAGAAGUAAGAAGUCAGGCAAAAGUGGCAGGAGACCCACAUGGAUGAAUAAGGAGCUCAUAGAAAAAUGUCUACAGAACACAGAAAAGAGAUCUGAACAUUUGAGAAGAAUAUAGGAACAUUGUGAGGGCAUGCAGGGAUGUGAUGAGAAAGACUAAGGUCCAUUUGGAAUUAAAUGUGGUGAGAGAGGUCAAGGACAACAAGAAGGGCUUUUUAAAGUAUGUCAGUAGCAAAACAAAGACUAGGGAAAAUGUGGGUCCACUGCUGAAUGAGGUGGGUGCCUUGGUAAUGGAGGACACUGAGAAGGUGAAGUUACUGAAUACCUUCUUUGUUUUAGUCUUUAUUAGCAAUACUGCCCUUUCGGAGUCCCAGACCCUGAAGGUAAAAAGAGAGAAUCUGGAGAAAGGUAGACUUUCCCACUGUUGAAGAGAAUCUGGUCAGAGAUCAUCGAGGCAAACUGAGUGCACACAAAUCCAUGGGCCCCAAUGGGAUUCACACCAUGCAUGCUGACAGAGCUGGCAGAAGUGAUUGCCAUGCCACACUUUAGAGGUGCCAGAGAAGUGGAGGAACUCCAGUGUCACUUCAGUCUUCAAAAAGUGCAAGAAGAAGGAGCCAGGAAACUACAGUCAGCCUCACAUCCACCCCUAUGAAGAUGAUAGAACAGCUUAUUCUGGAUAUCAUCUCCAAGUAAGUGGAAGAAAAGGUUAUCAGGAGUAGUCAACAUGGACUCACCAAGGGGAAGUCAUGCUUGAACAAUUUGGUAGCCUUCUAUGAUACCGUGACCAUCUGGGUAGACGGAGGGAGAACAGUGAAUGCUGUCUACCUUGACUUCAGUAAGGCUUCUGACACUGUCUUCCAUAACACCCUCAUAAGUAAGCUUAGAAAGUGUGGGGCCAGGUUCUUUCCAGUGGUGCCCAGAGAGAGAACAAGGGGCAAGGGGUACAAACUAGAACAUGGGAACUUCCAUAUGAUCAUGAGGAGAAACUUACUUUGAGGGUUACAGAGCACUGAAACAUGCUACCCAAAGAGGUUGUGAAUCUCCUCUGGAGAUAUUCAGGACCUACCUGGUUGCUUUCCUGCGUAGGGAACCUGCUUUAGCAGGGAGGUGGGCUAAAUGAUCUGCUGAGGUCCCUUCCAACUCCUAUAAUUCUGUGAUUCUUUGAUUCUGUGGUGUCUUCCCAGAGCAAUUCUCAUGCUCAUCAGACCUUCAGGUCCACCUGAGACCAUUGCAGCCCUAUGUCUGCCCAUAUGAGGCAUACAGGUACUACUAAACUCACAGCCAUAGGAAAGACAAGGAAGGGUUUUCCUUGAUCUUCUCCACAUAUUUUUCCUUUUUUCACAUGGUCUCAUGACUGAGAAAAAUUCUUUUUAAAAGUUAGGAGUUCUUUUUGUUUUGUUUUGUCUGUUUGUUUAUAUUUUUGAAUGUAUUUUCAUCACUGUCUGACAGGAAUGCCAGAUUCACAAGUUUGAAAAUUCUGCAUGUUAACUUAAAAUAAAAUAAAAUAAAAUAAAAUAAAAUAAAAUAAAAUGCAUUUCGCAAGGCCACAUAGAGGUGAAGAAACCACACUUCAAAAUGUUUCAUCUCACCAAAAAUGUCUUUCACAACUUUAACCUGCUUUAAGCAUGAUCCACCAGCAAAGCAGGCUCACCACACUUAUGAGCUAGCACAGUUCUUCAGUUCAUAACUAAACUUUCCAAAAAGAUGCUCUACCAUAUUUUUUUCAUUUAUAGUAGAUCAUCAUUAUGCUAUAUAACUUAUGGGACACAUUUUGAAAAUACCAUGUGUUGCUUAUACUGCUAUUUCAGAAAUUUAAGGAAAUAAACCUUACUACA
ensembl:lncRNA